rnacentral:misc_RNA from 1 species
UUUUGAUAAGUUUGGUUAAAUAGAGUUAUAUAUGUGACUAUUUGCCAAUAAUUUUUUACUAAAUUUUAUUUUUUUGGACCCUCACCUCAUUCAAGCACGUGUCUGUGCCUUGUGCUUCCCAUUGUGCCUUAAUGCACCUUGCGUCUUUAAUAACUAUGCUAUUUACAUGUUAAGGCUCUUAAUGCUUGUCUACUGUGAUAAUGGAAAGGUUCUCAUGGGACCAUAUAUUUGAAGAUUUAAAUUUUCUUCUGCAAUGCUUUUUUUAUUGCCAUAAAUAACCGUGGUAGUCAUCCUGUUCAUUGGGUGGGACAAGAUAUCUACACCCAGCGUUGGACUCAACCCUGGCCUGAUCAUCACCUUACUGUUUUAAUUUUCUGGCAGCAGUAUGUGGGUACACUUCACAAUUGAACAGUGAUUGGCCUCACUCUGCAAUCAAAAGAGUGAAGGAUUGCAGAACUGAGUUGUAUGAUCGUAUAAAUGAAUGUGCUUUUGCAAGCACGUUCAGCUGUGGAACAUUCUUCAUAUGUAACUCUUUGCUGCCAUAAAGUGAAGCCCACAGUUUCCAAAUCCAUGAUGAACCUCAAUAAUAUUGAGAGAAGGGGUGUCCUUUGUCUUGUCACACUAGAACAGGAGAAGACAAAUUGGCAUGAGUGAAGGGACUUUGGUAAAAGCAGGGCAACAUUGUGUCAGUCAUGUAUAAUUAAGUUCAGCAAGUAAUAAGAGAAUCUAAUAUAACAGUGUUGAAGCUUCAUAUAAUCAAAGUUUAUAGAGUCAAAAUGAUCAUAAACAAGUUUCGAAGAAAUGUGCGGUAGCCAAGAUGUACAUGAAUCGAGGGAUUUUUCUUUUUUUGGGUUCAAGACAGUAACACUGUCAAUGUUUGACACAGCCUAUUUCAGUUGUGCUUCGAUGAGCAAGUGCAACUCUUAUUAUUAUUAGAAAUUGUGUUGAAAUCUUUAGUUUAUAACUAAUGUUCUUUGACAGGGUGAAGGAGUUCUAGAAGAAGCAUAUGCUUCUAGUGCAAG